UACAUAGGGGGCAAGCGUUAUCCGGAAUUAUUGGGUGUAAAGGGUGCGUAGACGGAGAAACAAGUUGGUUGUGAAAUCCCUCGGCUCAACCGAGGAACUGCAACCAAAACUAUUUCCCUUGAGCGUCGGAGAGGAAAGUGGAAUUCCUAGUGUAGCGGUGAAAUGCGUAGAUAUUAGGAGGAACACCAGUGGCGAAGGCGACUUUCUGGACGAUAACUGACGUUGAGGCACGAAAGUGCGGGGAUCGAACAGG
rnacentral:rRNA from 1 species